GCUGUGGUCCAGUGGUUUAACAUCUGCCUGCCAUGUGGAAGGUCCCAGGUUUGAUCCCUGUCAUCUCCA
rnacentral:tRNA from 1 species